rnacentral:lncRNA from 1 species
GGCGGCGAGCGCUAUCUGGAGCUGACCGCGCGGCUCUUAAUCCCUGGCCUUGGGAAAGUGAAUUGGCCUGAAUAGCAAGGAGGAGAACUUGGGUGUGGAAAUACCGGGAUAAGAAGACUUACCCCAAUAAGUACCUGGAUGUGCAAAGACAGAUGUAGAAAGGAAAUGACAUAUUCCCAGGAGCACAAUAACUGACACUAACUGUGGCCAAAUUCAACAAAUGAGAGAUACAGAUAAAAAUACAGAAUCUCACUCUAUUGCUCAGGCUGGAGUGCAGUGGCCACAAAG